rnacentral:rRNA from 1 species
GAUGAACGCUGGCGGCGUGCCUAACACAUGCAAGUCGAACGGAGUAUAUAUUAUGAAGUUUUCGGAUGGAUUAAUAUAAACUUAGUGGCGGACGGGUGAGUAACGCGUGGGUAACAUGCCUCAUACAGGGGGAUAACAGCUGGAAACGGCCGCUAAAACCGCAUAACAUUGCGACAUCGCAUGGUGAUGCAAUUAAAUGUUUAUAAGUAUGAGACUGGCCCGCGACUGAUUAGCUAGUUGUGGAGGUAAUGGCUCACCAAGGCGACGAUAAGUAGCCGGCCUGAGAGAGUUACCGGCCACAUUGGGAAUGAGACACGGGCCAAACUCCUACAGGAGGCAGCAGUGGGGAAUAUUGCACCAUGGGGGAAACCCUGAUGCAGCGACGCCGCGUGAGUGAAGAAGUAUUUCGGUAUGUAAAGCUCUAUCAGCAGGGAAGAAAAUGACGGUACCUGACGAAGAAGCCCCGGCUAACUACGUGCCAGACGCCGCAGUAA